rnacentral:rRNA from 1 species
GAUGAACGCUGGCGGCGUGCUUAACACAUGCAAGUCGAACGGAAAGGCCCAAGCUUGCUUGGGUACUCGAGUGGCGAACGGGUGAGUAACACGUGGGUGAUCUGCCCUGCACUUCGGGAUAAGCCUGGGAAACUGGGUCUAAUACCGGAUAGGACCACUUCUUGGAUGUUGUGGUGGAAAGUUUUUUCGUUGUGGGAUGAGCUCGCGGCCUAUCCGCUUGUUGGUGGGGUAAUGGCCUACCAAGGCGUCGGCGGGUAGCCGGCCUGAGAGGGUGUACGGCCGCAUUGGGACUGAGAGACGGCCCAGACUCCGACGGGAGGGCGAAGUGGGGAAUAUUGCCCAAUGGGCGCAAGCCGGAUGCAGAGACGCCGCGGGGGGGAGGACGGUCUUCGGGUUGUAAACUCAUUUCGCUAGGGACGAAGCGUUUUGUGACGGUACCUGGAGAAGAAGCACCGGCUAACUACGUG